UGAAAGGCAGAGGAAGGAGGAGGUUUCAUAAAUGCCAUUUCCUAUGGUUUAAAGUAAUGUGUUGUAAGGGCAAAUGGUUACUAUAGACUAGACAAGAGACAAAGAGACAGGGUAGGUGGGGUCUGUCUACUUGACACAGCAAAGGCCAGCAAAGGAUGUGCGGUGUCUCAGAGGUCCAGCAAAGGACAUGCCGUGUCUCAGUGGUUCCCUUCUGGGAUCUCAUUUUUAUUUUCUCUCUAAUUUAAACCUUCUCUGUUACACCCUGAACUUCCUCUGAAACUCCAUGAAGUUCUGCUUACAGUUUCUAUGAAGCUGCAUCUUCGAGCUAUCCUAAAUGAUCACCAGACAUGUAAAACCCAGGACAUAAGCCGUAGCAGAGACCCCACGUCUCUAACUCCAAUUCUCUAUGUUAGUUACUUCAGCAUUGCUGGGUCCAAAAUGCCCAAGAGCAAUUUUAUUCUGCAGGGCUCAGUCCAUGAUUGCAAUGCCCUGUGUAUCCGUUCUCCACCUCCUGGUGGACAGGAAACAGUGAGGAAUGGACCAAGAAGCAUAUUAUCUUCAAAGGCUCAACAAGAAGUCCCCACCUCCUAAAGUUUCUGGAAUAUCUCAAAAUGGUCUCACCAUCAGUUAGAGACCAAGCGUUCAACACAUGAGCCGGUGGAGGGAAUUUCCUAGUCAAACCGUCAUAUUUUCCCACAUAAUUCUUUUCGAAAUAACAGCAUUAGCAUAGGAACUUUAUAAGGCAACUACCUCGCUUAUGUGAGCUAUGAUAUUGUUACAAGGUCAGGGCAUGAAUCCUCAAAUAUACAAUCUUGCAUAUUUUUUUCUUAUCUGAAAAAGCCUGUUUGGGACACAAACCUUGCUCAAGUUCUUGAAAAUGUAGUUAAUAUUGUCAAAGGACAAAAUUACAGUCUGGUUAAAAGUCCUUUACGUUGGCUUCAUUUCCAAGUCUAUAAUGAGGAGAAACUUCAUUUCAUAAGAAAGUCUAUGCAUUCUAAUGGGCCAAGCAGAAAAAGAACAUUUUGAAAGGUUGUAUAAACAGAGAAGGGAUUUUUAAAAAAGUAGACACACACACACAAAAAAAAAACCCAAAGAUGCACAGCAAUUUCUAGGUCAUUUCCUUUUAAGGGAGGGAUGCAGAGGCAGAACAAUAGAAAUCUGGCUGACUCAGCACCAGGUAACUUCAGGUCACUUUGUUUUCUACAAAGAUUAAACUUAGAGACCUUCCUUUUCGCGCCCGUUGAAACUGCUUUGCCUGGAAACUGUUUUCCAUCCUAGCCCCAUCUCUUGAAGUUCAAAUAACAAAUUAGAUCUGGCUUGGCCCUAUGGGACUUAGGCUUCAUGACUAUUUCAGUCUUCAGUCUGGUCUAUUGAGACCUAGCUAAGGCGCUCAGCUCAAAUGAUGCUCUAUUAUAAUAUCAAUUUGAUAACACCCACAUUAACUCAACUUCAACAAUAAAAGACUUAAAAGGAUGAUAGUAACAGCUAUGAAUGUAUAAAUUCUCAUUUACUCAAUAUUGGAAAUAUACAUAUUUUAUGAGAUAGAAUGGCAUCAUUAAUUCAAGCUAUACUAUUUUCAGACUAGUACUGACUGAAGAAAAUUUAAAAUAAAUUAAUAGUUUCAACGUUUACCACCAUCUCUUUAAAUUGAUGAUUGUUCCCUAGGUCUCCCUGGACCUUAUAUGAUCAAAACUAUAUAGUUCUCUAGGCUUUUCCCUUCUGAAAGGUGCUACUUGUUGUCAUAGUAAGUACUGUGACCAUAGUCUGAACGCUUCAUAGACAGAUCUUAUAAGAAAUGGUAGUGAUAACUGGGUAGUGGCUGCGGUGGCAGCGGCAGUGCAUGCCUUUAAUUCCAGCACUUGGGAGGCAGAAGCAGGCAGAUCUCUGAGUUCAAGACCAGCCUGGUCUAUAGAGUGAGUUCCAGGACAGCUACACAAAGAAACCCUGUCUUGAAAAACAAAACAAAAACAAAAGCAAAGACAAAACAAAAAACAGAAAGAAAGAGAGGAAGGAAGGAAGGAAGGAAGGAAGGAAGGAAGGAAGGAAGGAAGGAAGGAAGGAAACCAUAGGUGAUGUUAUACACUUUGCUCCUGGAUGGUAUCCAGUGAUUGUAUUCUUUUAUAUGGAAACAAGACAAUCAGUGGAGGUAACUAAGGUUAUCAUUGUGUUUACAAAGAUAUUGACACUCAAAUUAAUAUGGGAGUGACCUCUGGAUAUGGUGCCACACAGCUAUAGUCACAGAAUGUGGGAGGCUAAUUUGGGUCCCUAAGUUCAAAGCUAGUCUUGGCUACCCAGCAAGUUCAAGGUCAACAUGACUGUUACUACAUGUGAUGUUCAAAGUCUUCACUAGAGCAAUAAGACAAGAAAAAGGUAUUAAAAGAAUGCUAUACUGUUUCCUCUUCAUUGCCAACUGGUUGGGCUUAAAACAACCAUGAAAGCACACCUGGGUAUCACUAUGUGGGUAUUUCCAGAAAGAUUUCCCUAAGCAGAGAAGAUCUACCCCGAAUGUGGGAAACACCAUGCUAUGGGCUGGGGCCCUGGACUAAAUGUUCCUGUUCUGGAUUGUGGAUACAAUGUAACUAGACACUCCUUAAUCCUGUCACCAGUGACAGACUGCAACCCCAAAAUGUGGCCAAAAUAAACUCUUCAUUCACAGGUUGCUUUUGCAGGGUAUUUGAUCAGAGCAACAAUAACAAAGAUAACUAAUACAGAUUGACUAGCCCACUGUCUUAGUUAGGAUUACUAUUGCUGUGAUGAAACACCAUGCCCAAAGGAAGUUGAGGAGAAACACGUUUAUUUGGCUUGCACUUUCAUAUCUUAAGCUACAUAGUGAAACCUAUCUCAAAACAAAACAAACAGAAAAACAAGCAACACACACACACAAAUGUUUUCUCUCAUAGGCAGAACCUUGAUUUAUAAUCUUACCUGUCUCUGUGUGUAUGUCUGUGUAGAUGUGUGUUUACAUAUCUGUGUUUGUAGGUAAUAGAACUAGAAAUAAAAGGGACAGAAGAGAUCUUAAGAAAGGGUAGCUGGAUGCAUGAAAUUGGAAAAGUGGAGGGAUACCAUCUGCAGGAAGAGUGGAAACCAGCAAAUACAGAAGGAGACCGUUGGUCCUGUUGCAAUGACUCUCCUCAGCUUACACUCAGUCUGUCUCCACCUUAGCCUAGGUUGUAUCCCACAGAAGUCCACCAGCUUCCUCAAAGGCUGCUGGUUCCAGGGGAAGUAGGAAUAACUUCUAGAAGUCCCUGGGCAACCCCACUGACCUAGUUGUUGUUUCCCACCCUCUCCUUUUUAAAAAAAGAUUCAUUUAUUUUAUAUAUUUGAGUACACUGUCACUGUCUUCAGACACACCAGAAGGGUCCAUCAGAUCCCAUUACAGAUGGUUGUGAGCCACCAUGUGGUUCCUGGGAAUUGAAUCAAGACCUCUGGAAGAGCAGUCAGUAUUUUU
rnacentral:lncRNA from 1 species